rnacentral:rRNA from 1 species
AUUGAACGCUGGCGGCAGGCCUAACACAUGCAAGUCGAGCGGAGCGGCGGACGGGUGAGUAAUGCCUAGGACUCUUCCUGGUAGUGGGGGAUAACGUCCGUCAACGGGCGCUCAUACCGCAUCCUAUCAGUUGCGCCUAGGUCGGAUUCGCUAGUUGGUGGGGUAAAGGCCUACAAAGGCGACGAUCCGUAACUGGUCUGAGAGGAUGAUCAGUCACACUGGAACUUAGACACGGUCCAGACUCCUACGGGAGGCAGCAGUGGGGAAUAUUGGACAAUGGGCGAAAGCCUGAUCCAGCCAGGCCGCGUGUGUGAAGAAGGUCUUCGGAUUGUAAAGAACUUUCAGCGGGGCGGCGUUACCCGCAGAAGAAGCACCGGCUAACUCCGUGCCAGCAGCCGCGGUAAUAC